GAGGGUCUAGCUCAGAGGUAGAGCGUGUGCUUACCACACACGAGGUCUUGGGUUCAAUCCCCAGGACCUCCA
rnacentral:tRNA from 1 species